rnacentral:rRNA from 1 species
AGGACGAACGCUGGCGGCGUGCUUAACACAUGCAAGUCAAGGGGGUCCCGCAAGGGGCAACCGGCGAACGGGUGCGUAACACGUGAGCGACCUACCUCCACGCGGGGGAUAGCCGGCCCAACGGCCGGGUAAUACCGCAUACGCUCUUUCUGGGGCAUUCCGGGGAGAGGAAACCUCCGAGGCGGGGAGAGGGGCUCGCGGCCUAUCAGCUAGUUGGCGGGGUAAUGGCCCACCAAGGCGGUGACGGGUAGCUGGUCUGAGAGGAUGGCCAGCCACAUUGGGACUGAGAGACGGCCCAGACUCCUACGGAGCAGCAGUGGGAAUCGUGCGCAAUGGACCGAAAGGCUGACGCAGCGACGCGCGUGGGGAGAGGGCUUCGGCUCGUAACCCUGUCGCCCGGACGAACUCCUGUUUGACGAGGACGUGACGGUACGGUGACGGAGCGACCGGCUAACGUCCGCG